rnacentral:rRNA from 1 species
UACGUAGGGUGCAAGCGUUGUCCGGAAUUAUUGGGCGUAAAGAGCUCGUAGGCGGUCUGUCACGUCGGCUGUGAAAACCCGAGGCUCAACCUCGGGCCUGCAGUCGAUACGGGCAAACUAGAGUACUGCAGGGGAGACUGGAAUUCCUGGUGUAGCGGUGAAAUGCGCAGAUAUCAGGAGGAACACCGGUGGCGAAGGCGGCGAUCUGGGUAGAUACUGACGCUGGAGGUGACGAAAGCGUGGGGAGCAAACAGG